CCUACGGGAGGCAGCAGUGGGGAAUAUUGCACAAUGGGGGAAACCCUGAUGCAGCGACGCCGCGUGAGUGAAGAAGUAAUUCGUUAUGUAAAGCUCUAUCAGCAGGGAAGAAAAUGACGGUACCUGAGUAAGAAGCCCCGGCUAACUACGUGCCAGCAGCCGCGGUAAUACGUAGGGGGCAAGCGUUAUCCGGAUUUACUGGGUGUAAAGGGAGCGUAGACGGCAGUGCAAGUCUGGAGUGAAAGGCGGGGGCUCAACCCCCGGACUGCUCUGGAAACUGUAUGGCUGGAGUGCAGGAGAGGUAAGUGGAAGUCCUAGUGUAGCGGUGAAAUGCGGAGAUAUUAGGAGGAAAACCAGUGGCGAAGGCGGCUUACUGGACUGUAACUGACGUUGAGGCUCGAAAGCGUGGGGAGCAAACAGGAUUAGAUACCCCUGUAGUC
rnacentral:rRNA from 1 species